CAAAUCAAUCUAUCUAAUCCAGAAAGACCAAAUCUAAGUCUAUCAAUAAAUUUACAAACAACAGUGCCUAAAACUACAUUCUUUAUUUUCUUCGAAAACACCCGGAUGUAUGAGACACCCAGUGUUUGUUCGGUGGACUUAUUUUUGAGUGUUUGUGUAGCUGGGGCCGGCUGCUCAAGAUCCGGAGUAGAAAAUUGAAGUAAAUUGCUUGCACAACAGGCCCUUGAAAGGAAUUGAAUUUCGUUGGAGGUGGUGCUUACAGAAAUAACUCCGCGCUCAUGCUUACAGAGCUUUAGGAAAAAA